rnacentral:rRNA from 1 species
CCAAUGGCAUGCUCAGUAGCGGCGAGUGAAGCGGCAAGAGCUCAGAUUUGAAAUCUCACCUAGUGUGCGAGUUGUAAAUUGCAGGUUGGAGUCUCGGGUUAGACGUGUGUGCAAGUCCCUUGGAACAGGGUGCCACUGAGGGUGAGAGCCCCGUAGCGUGCAUGUCGACACCUGUGAGGCCCUUCUGACGAGUCGAGUUGUUUGGGAAUGCAGCUCUAAGUGGGUGGUAAAUUCCAUCUAAGGCUAAAUAUUGGCGAGAGACCGAUAGCGAACAAGUACUGUGAAGGAAAGAUGAAAAGCACUUUGAAAAGAGAGUGAAACAGCACGUGAAAUUGUUGAAAGGGAAGGGUAUUGGGCUCGACAUGGGAUUUACGCAUCGUUGCCUCUCGUGGGCGGCGCUCUGGGUUUUUCCUGGGCCAGCAUCGGUUUUCGUUGCAGGAUAAGGACAAUUGGAAUGUGGCUCCUCGGAGUGUUAUAGCCUUUUGUAGAUGCUGCGUAUGGGGACCGAGGGCUGCGGCGGACUCGUUUCGUCUCGGAUGCUGGCACAACGGCGCAAUACCGCCCGUCUUGAACAACGAACCAUCAU